ACGCUCGACACCUACGGGAGGCAGCAGUGGGGAAUAUUGCACAAUGGGGGAAACCCUGAUGCAGCGACGCCGCGUGAAGGAAGAAGUAUCUCGGUAUGUAAACUUCUAUCAGCAGGGAAGAAAGUGACGGUACCUGACUAAGAAGCCCCGGCCUAACUACGUGCCAACAGCCGCGGUAAUCUGAGCGGGCUGGCAAGGC
rnacentral:rRNA from 1 species